UACAGAGGUCCCAAGCGUUGUUCGGAUUCAUUGGGCGUAAAGGGUGCGUAGGUGGCGCUGUAAGUCGGGUGUGAAAUUUCGGAGCUUAACUCCGAAACUGCAUUCGAUACUGCGGUGCUCGAGGACUGGAGAGGAGACUGGAAUUCAUGGUGUAGCAGUGAAAUGCGUAGAGAUCAUGAGGAAGACCAGUGGCGAAGGCGGGUCUCUGGACAGUUCCUGACACUGAGGCACGAAGGCCGGGGAGCAAACGGG
rnacentral:rRNA from 1 species